rnacentral:lncRNA from 1 species
UAAAACAGGGGGGAAGUAAUUAAGUAAAUGACAGUCAAAAUUGAGAGAUGUAGAGCAGCUGCAAUUACUACGACAAAUCCCCGGAUUAACAGCGUAAUUAUGAAUAGAGAAAGAGAAAAUAGAAAAAGAAAAAUUGACUGGACCAGUCAGUCGCCUUGCACGACCUUAGACUAGUCUCAGUGACUGUUAACUUUGGAAAAAAUAUAAAAAAACCGUCAAAAAAGGACCAAUUUGCCACGCUCAUAACAUCCAUAGCAUCCGCAUCGCAUGCCCGUAGGGACAGGGUACAGUCCUCCUCUGUGUCCGAGAGCACCAUAAAAUAUCCCUUUCCUUUUUCUUUCUUUUCUUUUCCCUUUAACUGAUUUUAAUUUUAAUUUUUCAUGCUUCUGUCUGUCUCUCUCUACAUUUUUGGGAAAAGCAAGACUUUGGUUAGCUCUUAGCUGUACAGAAAAAGAAAAAAAAAGCUCUCUCCUCCCUUUAUAGUUACCGACUCUCUUCAAAGAUCUGUUCUAAUCUCUCUCUCUCUCUUUUUUUUUUUUUUCCUCUGCAACUUCUAAUUCUUUCAUUUAUCUAGAUUAAACCCCGCAAGCAAACACUGUCUUAGCCCUGGAUCUCUCUUUAUAUUAAAGCUUUAAAGCAAAGUCCAUAUCUAAAUUCAGGUUAGUUUCUUUUUUAUAUACUUUUAUUACUUUGAAUUUUUCUCCUUUUUCUUUCUUUUUAUAUUCCUUCUUAGAUCCGUCGUUUUAUAUUGUUGAAUUAUGUUUUAACCUGUCGUUUCAUAUGUUCGGCUGAUGACGGUUAGUUACUGUAUUAGAAUCAGGAAAUUGAUUUUCUUUAUCUCUCUGUUAAUUAAACUUUUGCUUUGUUUGUUAUUUAGCUCGUGUGAAUUUCAAAGUUUAUUUUUGUUUGUGAAUAAUCAAAUAUCAUUUGAGAUCAAUUGAAGUAACUAGUGUAGCUUUUCUCUUCUAUGUGUUUUCUNNN